UACGUAGGCAGCAAGCGUUGUUCGGAGUUACUGGGCGUAAAGGGUGCGUAGGCGGCUUUUUAAGUUUGGUGUGAAAUCUCCCGGCUCAACUGGGAGGGUGCGCCGAAUACUGAGAGGCUAGAGUGCGGGAGAGGAAAGUGGAAUUCCUGGUGUAGCAGUGAAAUGCGUAGAUAUCAGGAGGAAUACCGAUGGCGAAGGCAGGUCUCUGGGCUGACACUGACGCUCAUGCACGAA
rnacentral:rRNA from 1 species